UACGUAGGGAGCAAGCGUUGUCCGGAAUCAUUGGGCGUAAAGCGCGCGUAGGCGGCCCUGUAAGUCCGUUGUGAAAGUCAAAGGCUCAACCUUUGAAAGUCGAUGGAUACUGCAGGGCUAGAGUCCGGAAGAGGCGAGUGGAAUUCCUGGUGUAGCGGUGGAAUGCGCAGAUAUCAGGAGGAACACCAUAGCGAAGGCAGCUCGCUGGGACGGUACUGACGCUAAGGCGCGAAAGCGUGGGGAGCGAACGAGGAUUGAGAACCCGA
rnacentral:rRNA from 1 species